CCGUUCGUGGUGUAGUGGUCAGCACGCUCGGCGCGUAUUCGAGAGGUCCGUGGUUCGAGUCCCGGCGACGGC
rnacentral:tRNA from 1 species